rnacentral:rRNA from 1 species
UACGAGGGGGGCGAGCGUUGUUCGGAAUUAUUGGGCGUAAAGGGCGCGUAGGCGGCCACCGCAAGUCGACUGUGAAAUCUCCGGGCUUAACCCGGAACGGUCAGCCGAUACUGCGGGGCUAGAGUGCAGAAGGGGCAACUGGAAUUCUCGGUGUAGCGGUGAAAUGCGUAGAUAUCGAGAGGAACACCUGCGGCGAAGGCGGGUUGCUGGGCUGACACUGACGCUGAUGUGCGAAAGCUAGGGGAGCGAACGGG